UGGGGAAUAUUGCACAAUGGGCGAAAGCCUGAUGCAGCAACGCCGCGUGAGUGAUGAAGGCCUUCGGGUUGUAAAGCUCUGUCUUUUGGGACGAUAAUGACGGUACCAAAGGAGGAAGCCACGGCUAACUACGUGCCAGCAGCCGCGGUAAUACGUAGGUGGCAAGCGUUGUCCGGAUUUACUGGGCGUAAAGGAUGCGUAGGCGGAUUUUUAGGUGAGAUGUGAAAACCCUAAGCUUAACUUGGGGACUGCAUUUCAUACUGGAAAUCUAGAGUGCGGGAGAGGAGAAUGGAAUUCCUAGUGUAGCGGUGAAAUGCGUAGAGAUUAGGAAGAACACCAGUGGCGAAGGCGAUUCUCUGGACCGUAACUGACGCUGAGGCAUGAAAGCGUGGGUAGCAAACAGGAUUAGAUACCCUGGUAGUCCACGCCGUAAACGAUGAGUACUAGGUGUAGGAGGUAUCGACCCCUUCUGUGCCGCAGUUAACACAAUAAGUACUCCGCCUGGGAAGUACGAUCGCAAGAUUAAAACUUAAAGGAAUUGACGGGGUCAUAGCUGUUUCCU
rnacentral:rRNA from 1 species